AAGGUGCACCCGAGAGGGGAAACCGAUGGGAAAGGAGUUAAUAUUCUUGUACCAGCUUAUGCUGCGAUGGGGCGACGGAGUAGUGAAAGUCCUGCGUACGGACGGAAGUGUACGUUAAAGGGUGUAGUUUAUGAGAGGGCCAGGCAAAUCCAGUCCUUGAGAUGAAACCCGAUAGUACCGCGAUCUUUUAGGAGAGCGGAUAAUGGACCUAAUCAUACUUCCAAGAAAAACCUCUAAGCUUCAGGCAUAAGCUGCCCGUACCGCAAACCGACACAGGUAGUCGAGGAGAGUAUCCUCAGGCGCUCGAGUGAUUCACGGCUAAGGAACUCGGCAAAAUAGACCCGUAACUUCGGGAGAAGGGUCGCCCCGCGCAAGCGGGGCCGCAGUAAAAAGGCUCAGGCGACUGUUUAGCAAAAACACAGGGCUCUGCAAAAUCGAAAGAUGAAGUAUAGGGCCUGACACCUGCCCGGUGCUGGAAGGUUAAGGAAGCUUGUUAGUGGGAAACUGCGAAGCUUGUAACUGAAGCCCCAGUAAACGGCGGCCGUAACGAUAACGGUCCUAAGGUAGCGAAAUUCCUUGUCGGGUAAGUUCCGACCUGCACGAAUGGUGUAACGAUCUGAGCACUGUCUCGGCCGUGAGCUCGGUGAAAUUGUAGCCCCGGUGAAGAUGCCGGGUACCCGCAACGGGACGGAAAGACCCCGUGAACCUUCACUAUAGCUUUGCAUUGGUUUUGAGUAAAUAAUGUGUAGGAUAGGUGGGAGGCUGCGAAGCAGGCACGCUAGUGUUUGUGGAGCCGUCCUUGAAAUACCACCCUUUAUUUACUUAGAGUCUAACUCUUUGAAAGAGGACAGUGCAUGGUGGGUAGUUUGACUGGGGUGGUCGCCUCCAAAAGAGUAACGGAGGCUUUCAAAGGUACCCUCAGCACGCUUGGUAACCGUGCGUAGAGCGCAAUAGUAUAAGGGUGCUUGACUGUAAGACCGACGGGUCAAGCAGGUAGGAAACUAGGAUAUAGUGAUCCGGUGGUUCCGUAUGGAAGGGCCAUCGCUCAUAGGAUAAAAGGUACUCCGGGGAUAACAGGCUGAUCCUACCCAAGAGCUCAUAUCGACGGUAGGGUUUGGCACCUCGAUGUCGGCUCGUCACAUCCUGGGGCUGGAGAAGGUCCCAAGGGUUGGGCUGUUCGCCCAUUAAAGUGGCACGCGAGCUGGGUUCAGAACGUCGCAAGACAGUUCGGUCCCUAUCUGUUGUGGGCGUUUGAGAUUUGAGGAGAUCUGACACUAGUACGAGAGGACCGGGUCGGACUGACCACUAGUGUACCUGUUAUGGCGCCAGCUGUAUCGCAGGGUAGCUAUGUCGGGAAUGGAUAAGCGCUGAAAGCAUCUAAGCACGAAACCAACUCCAAGAUUAGAUCUCGUAGGGCUGUGGAAGAUUACCACGUUGAUAGGCUACAGGUGUAAAGGCAGUAAUGUCAUAGCCGAGUAGUACUAAUUGCUCGUAAGCUUU
rnacentral:rRNA from 1 species